UACGUAGGGGCUAGCGUUAUCCGGAAUUACUGGGCGUAAAGGGUGCGUAGGUGGUUUCUUAAGUCAGAGGUGAAAGGCUACGGCUCAACCGUAGUAAGCCUUUGAAACUGGGAAACUUGAGUGCAGGAGAGGAGAGUGGAAUUCCUAGUGUAGCGGUGAAAUGCGUAGAUAUUAGGAGGAACACCAGUUGCGAAGGCGGCUCUCUGGACUGUAACUGACACUGAGGCACGAAAGCGUGGGGAGCGAACAGGAUUAGAUACCCUGGUAGUCCCUGAG
rnacentral:rRNA from 1 species